CGAUUACGGGAGGCAGCAGUGGGGAAUAUUGCGCAAUGGGCGAAAGCCUGACGCAGCGACGCCGCGUGAGGGAUGAAGGUUUUCGGAUCGUAAACCUCUGUCGGAAGGGAAGAAGGUGCACUCUGCUAAUCAGGGGUGUAUUGACGGUACCUUCAAAGGAAGCACCGGCUAACUCCGUGCCAGCAGCCGCGGUAAUAUCG
rnacentral:rRNA from 1 species